CCACACCCAACCAGAUGCACGCUCUGGACAGGGGACAGGAGACAGGAGACAAGGAACCUAAGGGAGAGGACUGCUAAACACCACAGGAAAAGGGAAAGGCACAGCCGGACCAUGAUCGUAAAAAGAAGAAGAAUAUUGCCAAAACGAAAUAAACCCGACAUGAGAGGAUUACAGCCAUGCUUUAUCUUCUAACAUUUAAGGAAGGAUGGCAGUGAAGUUACAAACAAAAGGAAUUUUGAGAGGUGGAUGGCUGGAGCAGCUGUUAAUGCAGUCAGUUCAUCAACUGGGAUGGUUCCUGAAAUUAAAUAAAGUGGUCAGACAUGGAGUUGGAUGCCAAGAAGCGCAUUGCUGCAGACUGUAUGUAUGUAUGAGCCACACACAUCAACAUCAGCAUCAUUUCAGCAGCCUUAUGAUGCUCCACAACUGACCAUGACGAGGCUGGGGAUCCUAUGGUGCCUCUCCUCUGCGCUGUUCAGGAUGGCAAUGUGAUGAUGAACCAGCAGUUGAUGGAAACACUUCUUUAGCUGCAGUGUAGUGUUAAAUAGUAAUUCCCAUAUGGAAAUGGGUAUAAGUUGUAUCUAUUAAAAUGGA